UUGCUGUGAUGAAUAUAAAACUUGUUGAAAGUUUACUAUUGCUUGAUGAAAUAUCGACAAUUAUGUCGAACCUGAGCGGUUACCUGAGCAA